AGCAAGCCUGGGGCGGAACGUAACACGUGGUUUGAAUUCUUUGUUAAUGGAGGCGUAAAGGCUUUGAAGGGGAAAAGGGAAUUUUGCUGUUUGUAUAAGAUUCCUAGGAUAUAUAUCUAUGUAUUCCAUGUUACAUAAUCAUGCAAUCAUUUCAAGAACCAGUGGCGCCUAUUCAGUGGGUGGUCUCCGAAGACAAGGAGGUCAGAAUGAAAGAAGAAGAAAUCCCAAUUGUUUAUCGUCUGGUGCCAUCACAGGCUGCUGUCCCAAAUACAGGCAUUGGAAGUGAUGAUGUGCAAGAAGAUUCUUUCAAAAACCAUGCAGAAGUGAAGCGUGAAGAGGAUGAAAAAUGCUGCACCACGUCCACGGUCAUUAAUCUAAUGGAUAUGAGCUCUCUUAACGGAGCCCCCAUUAACUUUAAGGUGUGCUGUCCAUAUCCAACUCUGCACAAAUUCACUUCUACUUGUUUUGAAGGAGAAGAUUUUGAGCAACUUCCUAACCACGCCAAAAAAUCAUCGCUCGAUUAUAAGGGUGAGUGCACCAAAGCAGUGCAUGGGAUUCCCGUUGCUUAGCUUGGGUGUCUUCAUUUAAAAUGCGACUUGAGUAAAGGAAACACGUUAGGUCUGUGUGGACAAGUCCAAGAAGUGGCAACACAUGCGAUUUCAGAAACUAUUUCUGGUUGUGUUGACUGUGAUUUGAGUGAAGGUCUUUCUUGUGUUCAGAAAGAGGAACCGACAUUUUCAACAACGUUUUGCCGUUCUGCUAUUCCUGUUGUGGACUUUAGUUUCAAGUAUCGCAGUGAUUAUCCUAACCGUAGCCUGAUAUUUGAGAGAACCUCUAGACCUGAAUGUAUAAGAAGUGAGAAUGCUUGUUGAACUAUUCAAUAGGAAUUAACCCUCACCUUCUAAGAAGUGUUUAUGAACUUAGGGACCACAUUCAUCAGUGGUUUUCCGUAGGGUAGGUAGCUUAUAACAUGCAUCACAGUACAGGAGCGGACAUUAGGUACAAAUCUAAAGGGGAAAGAUGCCUUAGCACUUCUGCUUUUGACUCAUCUUGUCCACUGUCUGUUACAAACAAUACGCCAAACUUGUCCUCUAGGACUUUGAGGACUCCACAUUUUCAGUCUCUUACUCUUUGUCACUCUGCACUUUGUGAAAACACCAAUAUUUUCUCUAGGAACCAUUUAAACGAUUUGAAAAGCACAAACUGUCUUCUUUAUAAUGGAAAAAAAAUUCACACAACAUGCAAAAGCAUGUUAAACAGCCAAAAAAAAUUGGUCUUCAUUUUUACUUUCUCAUAUACAGAGUGAAAAUAUUCGACCUCAAGAUUUUGAUGAAUCUCAACGUUUUAGACCUUCCUGAGUCCGAAAAAUAACAUUUUUGAAGUUUUGUCUGUCUGCGUGUAAACAUAACUCAAAACGCUUUGACCUCGGUCAGUGAGAUUUUGUACACCUGCAUUAUAUUAAAAAAUAAGGAAUCCUAUCAACGUUUUGGGUAAUAAAUUCUGGCAACCAGAAGUGGUACUUUAACUGAAUACUUUUGCAAAUUUUCCAGUAAACUGUGGGUAUAAUUACAGAUGGAUGGUUCAAAUUUUGUACAGAUAUUUAUGAUUAAAAAGCAAACACAUAUGAAAUUUGAGAAAAAUUACUUAACCGGAAGUAGUAUUUUAUUAAAGCAACCAUCUGAAUUUUUUGUAUC